UUUAAUAGUCUUUCCGCCUCUCACACGCCUCCCCAUGUGUUGUCCCAAUGGAGCCCAGAUUUAAUGACUGUACCCCCGCAGGGACGACGCAUGGGGAGGCGUGUGAGAGGCGGAGAGACUAUUAA
rnacentral:pre_miRNA from 1 species